UGGGGAAUUUUGGACAAUAGGGGAAACCCUGAUCCAGCCAUCCCGCGUGUGCGAUGAAGGCCUUCGGGUUGUAAAGCACUUUUGGCAGGAAAGAAACGUCAUGGGUUAAUACCCCGUGAAACUGACGGUACCUGCAGAAUAAGCACCGGCUAACUACGUGCCAGCAGCCGCGGUAAUACGUAGGGUGCAAGCGUUAAUCGGAAUUACUGGGCGUAAAGCGUGCGCAGGCGGUUCGGAAAGAAAGAUGUGAAAUCCCAGAGCUCAACUUUGGAACUGCAUUUUUAACUACCGGGCUAGAGUGUGUCAGGGGGGGGUGGAAUUCCGCGUGUAGCAGUGAAAGGCGUAGAUAUGCGGAGGAACACCGAUGGCGAAGGCAGCCUCCUGGGAUAACACUGACGCUCAUGCACGAAAGCGUGGGGAGCAAACAGG
rnacentral:rRNA from 1 species